UACGUAGGGUGCAAGCGUUAAUCGGAAUUACUGGGCGUAAAGGGCGCGUAGGCGGCCCGCUAAGUCGAACGUGAAAUCCCCAGGCUCAACCUGGGAACUGCGUCCGAUACUGGCAGGCUUGAAUCCGGGAGAGGGAUGUGGAAUUCCAGGUGUAGCGGUGAAAUGCGUAGAUAUCUGGAGGAACACCGGUGGCGAAGGCGGCAUCCUGGACCGGCAUUGACGCUGAGGCGCGAAAGCUAGGGGAGCAAACAGG
rnacentral:rRNA from 1 species